AACAUGCAAACCACAAGUACAGCCUACGGCUUUCUGACCAACGUCCUUUGCAUGCGCAGCAUGUAGUAAGGGUACCCCUUUAUCGGCCACAGGCCACAGGCCGAUUACGUGAAUUGAUGGUCUGGCCUAUAGGGUAGGAUCCGGGCUGGAAUUGGGGAAGAGCUCUGUCGCAGAAUUAGCCUGGAUUUUAUUCCUGACAAAAAAUCGGUCUGUCGGGGUCUUGAAAUGUUCUGGCAGGCUCGCCGGAGGUAUUCGAAUUGCGCUGUGGAGCCUGCCUCCAACCGGUUUCAUUCGGUCUGCAGUCCAUUUUGUUAAACCAGCCGAUUAAUGGCGUUAUUGUGGCGGUGUGUGGGUAUUCAGUCCAGGGUUCGCCGGGCAUGUAAGUCAGGACCGGAUUAUGAACCAUCACAGAUUGCCGUGCUUGCAGCAGCAGCCCAGCCAGCCAGCCAGCUAUAACUAGCGAACGAAAGCUUUGCUUGCCGAGAAACCCGCUGUGCCGCCGGCCUGUCCGCCGUUAGCUGUGGCGCCGUGUCUCCUGUGAGCCUCUCGAGCGGAAUCUAGGCUCACCCUACACCUAGCAGCCAGCAGCCAACGAGCCAUGCAUACCUUAUGCAAUCGACGCUGGCCUUAAGCUGGCCACAAGGGGCCACAAGUUCGCCUUAAGCCCUGUUAUGCAAGGCAACCCUACCUGACUGACCCGCAGGUAGGUAGCACUUGGUGAGCAGCAACACGCACUUGCGACCCAGUAUACUGUAUUCAUGAUAACGUCACCAUAUCAUGGUGAGGAAGCACCGCACGAGAUCAUCAAUCAUCUGUAAUUACCCUUAGGUUUUCUGAGUGAAAGCGAAAGAAACCCAAGGUUUUCUGAGUAUCUGAGUGCCGAGAUCGUACUCUGUUGAAUGUCGUUGGUGCGUACGGCUGGACCGCACAGGGCUAGUGUAAGUAACAGGAGUGCGAGUUCACAGUGUCAGAGAGUACUGACAGGUUUCCGCUGCGGCUUCUGUCCUAAUCUACAGCGUUCAGCAGCAAAUUCGCUUCGGUGACCAGGAGGCUCGCCAGAUGAAGUCAAGCACACUUUCCUGCCUACAGGUGCCUCUCCGUCCAGACGACCCCUAAGUGAUAAGGCAAGUACUCAACUAAUCAUUAUCUAUCAAAUUGGCAUUUCUGUUGCGAUGUAUAUAUACAUCCGUUAGGAAUGCAUGUCGCUCGUUGAUGGCGCUGUUGUACGGCGCGUAUGGUUGCACUACCCAACCGUCUGCUGCAAGCGUGUAGGCAUCUAUCACCGGAUUACGGCAUGUACAUCUAGCUAGAAUGAUUAUUAUCAUCUUAAGCCGUACACGUACCUCUAGCUGAGCAUAUUUAUGGUCAUGCUUGCGUAUCAAUACAUGUUGCUCGUGAUUGCGUGAAGCAGGGGUUACUAGGGUGAAGAGCUUUACCCCUGGCCACCGGCCUGGCAGUCCCUACCUUACUCGACGUUUCGGGGCACCCCCAUCCUUGCGCACUAAUUCCUUGUGCAUUAAAUGUUUUUGUUACCACAG
rnacentral:lncRNA from 1 species